rnacentral:rRNA from 1 species
UACAGAGGUCUCAAGCGUUGUUCGGAUUCAUUGGGCGUAAAGGGUGCGUAGGCGGCGGGGCAAGUCAGGUGUGAAAUCCCGGAGCUCAACUCCGGAACUGCACUUGAUACUGCCUUGCUAGAGUACUGGAGAGGAGACUGGAAUUUACGGUGUAGCAGUGAAAUGCGUAGAUAUCGGGAGGAACACCAGUGGCGAAGGCGGCUUCCUGGCCUGUUCUUGACGCUGAGGCGCGAAAGCUAGGGGAGCAAACGGG